ACAUAAGUUCAUGGAAUGCAUCAAAACUUUAUUUUUCAACUUUCACAAACUCCACCGUUAAUUCCAUCAUAACUUCUUGUUUUUUUUCUUCUUUUACGGAAAAAAAAACCCAGACUUGGUUGUGGUCCGACUGGUUCAUGGAUAUUGAUCCCUUCUGGGUUACUACUGGGGGGUCAGGGUGGUUUCCAAUUUCUCACUACAAUUUCAUUUCAUGGCGAUGCCUCACAAAUCAAUCUCUGAAAACUCAACUUCCAUAAUAUUGUCUUCACAAUCAUAUGCCCUACUACGGCUUUUCGUUCUCCUCCUCCUCAUUUCUCCUCUCUUUGCUCGUCCCAUCUAUUCCUCUUCCUCUACUACGAGAAAUUUGCACCCAUUCUCGACUUCUUCCACGUCGAUCCCAGCAGCUCAAAGCCCCGGAAAAAAUGGUGCUACAGAUGGACGGUUUGAAGCAGAUGUUCAUGAAGUGCCUAGUGGGCCCAAUCCUGAAUCCAACAAUUUUCACUUUCUCUUGAUGUGCCCGGACUGUUAGUUACAUGCAUGCAGAUAUUGAAGGAAUAUAUACUAUAUUUGUGUGUGUACUGUGUAAGCCAUUCUUCCAAAGGCAUAAAAAAUAUGUCAUACUAUGUUUGUUUGGUUUUAUGAAGUUCUUCACUCCUAGAGAGAUAUCCUUCAGUGCUGAUUUAUGUACCAUUAGGUGCAGAAAUGUGAUUUCCCAUAUAUCCUUCAGUAAGAAUCAUCCGACAUAUUGUGUGUUUAA